rnacentral:rRNA from 1 species
UGAUACGCUGGCGGCGUGCAUACUCAUGCAGUCGAACGAUGAAACUUUAAUGAACCCUUCGGGGAGAAUUAAAGCGGAUUAGUGGCGAACGGGUGAGUAACGCGUGAGUAACCUGCCUUACACAAGGGGAUAGCCUUUGGAAACGAAGAAUAAUACCCUAUAAAACCAUAAAAGCACAUGCAAUUAUGGUCAAAGUGAUAGCGGUGUAAGAUGGACUUGCGUCUGAUUAGCUAGUUGGUGAGAUAAAAGCCCACCAAGGCAACGAUCAGUAGCCGGCUUGAGAGAGUGUACGGCCACAUUGGGACUGAGACACGGCCCAGACUCCUACGGGAGGCAGCAGUGGGGAAUUUUGCACAAUGGGGGAAACCCUGAUGCAGCGACGCCGCGUGAUUUAGAAGGCCUUCGGGUUGUAAAAAUCUUUUGUAUCAGGAAGAAAAUGACAGUACUAUACGAAUAAGGUCCGGCUAAUUACGUGCCAGCAGCCGCGGUAAUACGUAAGGACCGAGCGUUGUCCGGAAUCAUUGGGCGUAAAGGGUACGUAGGCGGUAGAAAAGUUAGAAGUCAAAGGCUAUAGCUCAACUAUAGUAAGCUUCUAAAACUAUUUAGCUUGAGCAGAUGGACAGGGAAAGUGGAAUUCCUAGUGUAGCGGUGGAAUGCGCAGAUAUUAGGAGGAAUACCGGUGGCGAAGGCGACUUUCUGGCCAUUUUCUGACGCUGAGGUACGAAAGCGUGGGUAGCAAACAGGAUUAGAUACCUGGUAGUCCACGCCGUAAACGAUGAGUGUUAGGUGUCUGGAGUCAAAUCUGGGUGCCGCAGCAAACGCAUUAAACACUCCGCCUGGGGAGUACGCACGCAAGUGUGAAACUCAAAGGAAUUGACGGGGACCCGCACAAGCAGCGGAGCAUGUGGUUUAAUUCGACGCAACGCGAAGAACCUUACCAAGUCUUGACAUAUUUUAGAAGCAAUUAGAGAUAAUUGCCUAUAUCUUCGGAUAACUAAAAUACAGGUGGUGCAUGGUUGUCGUCAGCUCGUGUCGUGAGAUGUUGGGUUAAGUUCCCCAUAACGGAGCGCAACCCCUAUUGCUAGUUACCAUCAUUAAGUUGGGGACUCUAGUAAUACUGCCGGUGACAAACCGGAGGAAGGUGGGGAUGACGUCAAAUCAUCAUGCCCUUUAUGACUUGGGCUACACACGUGCUACAAUGGCAGGUACACAGGGAAGCAAGACUGUGAAGUUAAGCAAACUCAAAAAGCCUGUCCCAGUUCGGAUUGCACUCUGCAACUCGAGUGCAUGAAGUUGGAGUGCUAGAAUCGCAGUCAGAUCCUCGNCUU